GGGCCGGUUUCCGCAGGUGAGCGAAUCGCGCUGGGCUUCCUUGACACGGAAGAGGUCAGAGGUUCAAAUCCUCUAGCGCCCA
rnacentral:tRNA from 1 species